AUUGAACGCUGGCGGCAGGCCUAACACAUGCAAGUCGAACGAGGGGCGGAUGGGUGAGUAAUGUCUGGGAACCUUCCUGAUGGAGGCGGAUAACUACUGGAAAUGGUAGCUAAUACCGCAUACGCUCAGGUGUGCCCACGUGGGAUUAGCUUGAUGGUGGGGGAACGGCUCACCCAGGCGACGAGCCCUAGCUGGUCUGAGAGGAUGACCGGCCAAACUGGAACUGAGACACGGUCCAGACUCCUACGGGAGGCAGCAGUGGGGAAUAUUGCACAAUGGGCGCAAGCCUGAUUGAGCCAUGCCGCGUGUAUGAAGAAGGUCUUCGGGUUGUAAAAUACUGUCGGCGGGGAGGCGUUACCCGAAGAGGAAGCACCGGCUAACUCCGUGCCAGCAGCCGCGGUAAUUC
rnacentral:rRNA from 1 species